UGCCUCGCAUGGUGCCUCGCUGCUCUCAACCCCCCUGACCCGAGGCAAGGGAGCUUAAUAGGCAAUGUAGAAUGCAUUGAGGAAGCUUUAGGAUUAGUGGGAUGUCCUUACCCACUUAAACCUUCCCAUAUUCAUCAUCUUGACAGUGAAUUUAUUUUUCCUGUCGUACAAUGGCUCGUGGAUCGUGUUCAAUU